CAGGGGAGGCCGGAUCCUGGGCUGUGUCCCCGCGCCCUGUGCUCCGGGGCCUGUGCUGUUGGAUUCGCGCUCCCGCCCCACCCCCCCUC
rnacentral:pre_miRNA from 1 species